rnacentral:rRNA from 1 species
GACGAAGGAUGCAAGCGUUAUCCAGAUUCAUUGGGUUUAAAGGGUGCGUAGGCGGACCUGUAAGUCAGUGGUGAAAUCUCUCAGCUUAACUGAGAAACUGCCAUUGAUACUGCAAGUCUAGAGUAUAGAUGACGUUGGCGGAAUAUGACAUGUAGUGGUGAAAUACUUAGAUAUGUCAUAGAACACCGAUUGCGAAGGCAGCUAACGAAACUAUAACUGACGCUGAGGCACGAAAGUGCGGGGAUCAAACAGG